rnacentral:rRNA from 1 species
GGGGAAUCUUGCGCAAUGGGCGAAAGCCUGACGCAGCAACGCCGCGUGCGGGAAGAAGGCCUUCGGGUUGUAAACCGCUUUCAGAAGGAACGAAACUGACGGUACUUUCAGAAGAAGGUGCGGCCAACUACGUGCCAGCAGCCGCGGUGACACGUAGGCACCAAGCGUUGUCCGGAUUUAUUGGGCGUAAAGAGCUCGUAGGCGGUUCGGUAAGUCGGGUGUGAAAACUUUGGGCUCAACCCAAAGCGUGCAUUCGAUACUGCCGUGACUAGAGUUCGGUAGGGGAGUGGGGAAUUCCUAGUGUAGCGGUGAAAUGCGCAGAUAUUAGGAGGAACACCGGUGGCGAAGGCGCCACUCUGGGCCGAAACUGACGCUGAGGAGCGAAAGCGUGGGUAGUAAAC